AAUUUAAAUAGCUUAAUAAAGAGUAUAAUAUUGAAGAUAUUAAGGUGAUUGUAUUAUCUUUAAAU
rnacentral:tRNA from 1 species